GACGAACGCUGGCGGCGGGCCUAACACAUGCAAGUCGAACGGAAAGACCCUGCGUUUGUGCGGUGCUCGAUUGGCGAACGCGUGAGUAACACGUGAGUAACCUGCCCUUGACUUUGGGAUAAGUUCAGGAAACUGGGGCUACUAUCGGAUCGCAGCCCACCCUGCAUGGUGGGGGGUGGAAAGUUUCGGCGGUUGGGGAUGGACUGGCGGCUUAUCAGCUUGUUGGUGGGGUAGGGGCUUACCAAGGAUUUGACGGGUAGCCGGCCUGAGAGGGUGACCGGCGACAUUGGGACUGAGGUAAGGCCCAGACUCGUAUGGGAGGCAGAGGUGGGGAGUAUUGCACAAUGGGCGGACGCCUGAUGCAGCGACGCCGCGUGUGGGAUGACGGCCUUCGGGGUAUGAACCGCUUUCGGCUGUGACGAAGCGGGAGUGACGGUAAUGGGUAAAGAAGCACCGGCUAACUACGUG
rnacentral:rRNA from 1 species